rnacentral:rRNA from 1 species
CUACGUGCCAGCAGCCGCGGUAAUACGUAGGUGGCAAGCGUUGUCCGGAAUUAUUGGGCGUAAAGCGCGCGCAGGCGGAUUGGUCAGUCUGUCUUAAAAGUUCGGGGCUUAACCCUGUGAUGGGAUGGAAACUGCCAAUCUAGAGUAUCGGAGAGGAAAGUGGAAUUCCUAGUGUAGCGGUGAAAUGCGUAGAUAUUAGGAAGAACACCAGUGGCGAAGGCGACUUUCUGGACGAAAACUGACGCUGAGGCGCGAAAGCCAGGGGAGCGAACGGGAUUAGAUACCCCGGUAGUCCUGGCCGUAAACGAUGGGUACUAGGUGUAGGAGGUAUCGACCCCUUCUGUGCCGGAGUUAACGCAAUAAGUACCCCGCCUGGGGAGUACGACCGCAAGGUUGAAACUCAAAGGAAUUGACGGGGGCCCGCACAAGCGGUGGAGUAUGUGGUUUAAUUCGAAGCAACGCGAAGAACCUUACCAGGUCUUGACAUCCCUCUGACCGCUCUAGA